CCCGUCAGCGCCUGAGGCCCGGUUACAGCCCGUGACAGGACAGGGCUGCUGCAGCUCUUCAGAAAAGGUUCAUAAGGGUUGGAAACGUGUGUACUUUGUUGAAGCGGAGGUUUGGUCGCAGGGCAGUCCCGCUGCUGUGAGAGAGGGGAUCUCAUGGCAGUAAGUGCAGCAGCAGGGCUGCCUUGCAAACAUGGUGGGAGCAGAGCGAGGUGACAGGCCGGGCAGCGAGCAGUGCCAGAUCAUGCACACUCAAGGCUGGGGACGUUUCUCUAUGUCAGCCUGGUGAGGCACACCCCUGCAGCCUGAAGGAACCAACUUCCAGGAGGAAAAAUGCUAAUGGCAGAGGAGGGCUGAUUGGAUUAGUCCAGCAAUGUGAGUACCUGAUGCAGCCUGCUAUCAACAUGUCAACAGAGGAAGGGUACUUCCCAGAUAUCUUGGGCUCUCCUGCUAGGACUGUGACUCGACCUGUUUCAGCUUUCCUGAAAGGGAUAGAAGACAAUAUCUGUAUGUUUUUGCAGAAAUAUACUGUUGGGAAAAGGCUGCAAAAAUUCUGGCGACCAUGUAAAUCCCACACUGAAAACUCACUUGGGAAGAAGAAAAGACAAAAAAUUUUGUGCUGGCCUUCUAAGUGAAGCUUAUGUAACCUGUGCCUCCAAGGCCGGUCAAGCAUUUCUCUGAAGCCUCCAGCUCCAGCUCUUGUUUCCUCAAGCACAUGAGUUCACAGACCUUCUUCCAGUCCUUUGAUUGCUGUAUCAUCUUCGGGUUUUGUUGUUAAAGGAGCCUCAUUACGGACUUUUGCUCCUAUAGACUAUGUUAUGGAUGCAUAUGAAAAAAUCCACUUGUUAUCUACUUUACCUGGAUGAAUUGUUACCUGAUGUCUACAGGAGACGUAGGCAGAGUCCUG